rnacentral:rRNA from 1 species
GUCCACGCCGUAAACGAUGAAUGCCAGUCGUUGGGAGGUUUACCUUUCAGUGACGCAGCUAACGCUUUAAGCAUUCCGCCUGGGGAGUACGGUCGCAAGAUUAAAACUCAAAGGAAUUGACGGGGCCCGCACAAGCGGUGGAGCAUGUGGUUUAAUUCGACGCAACGCGCAGAACCUUACCGGCUCUUGACAUGCCAAUGACUGUUGCCAGAGAUGGCUUCGUUCCUUCGGGACAUUGGACACAGGUGCUGCAUGGCUGUCGU